AGUGAACGCUGGCGGUAGGCCUAACACAUGCAAGUCGAACGGCAGCACAGUAAGAGCUUGCUCUUACGGGUGGCGAGUGGCGGACGGGUGAGGAAUACAUCGGAAUCUACUUUUUCGUGGGGGAUAACGUAGGGAAACUUACGCUAAUACCGCAUACGACCUACGGGUGAAAGCAGGGGAUCUUCGGACCUUGCGCGAUUGAAUGAGCCGAUGUCGGGUUAGCUAGUUGGCGGGGUAAAGGCCCACCAAGGCGACGAUCCGUAGCUGGUCUGAGAGGAUGAUCAGCCACACUGGAACUGAGACACGGUCCAGACUCCUACGGGAGGCAGCAGUGGGGAAUAUUGGACAAUGGGCGCAAGCCUGAUCCAGCCAUACCGCGUGGGUGAAGAAGACCUUCGGGUUGUAAAGCCCUUUUGUUGGGAAAGAAAAGCAGCAGGUUAAUACCCCGCUGUUCUGACGGUACCCAAAGAAUAAGCACCGGCUAACUUCGUG
rnacentral:rRNA from 1 species